UACGUAUGGUGCAAGCGUUAUCCGGAUUUACUGGGUGUAAAGGGAGCGCAGGCGGUUCUGCAAGUCUGAUGUGAAAGCCCGGGGCUCAACCGCGGGACUGCAUUGGAAGCUGCGGGACUGGAGUGUCGGAGGGGUAAGCGGAAUUCCUGGUGUAGCGGUGAAAUGCGUAGAUAUCAGGAGGAACACCGGUGGCGAAGGCGGCUUACUGGACGAUGACUGACGCUGAGGCUCGAAAGCGUGGGGAGCAAACAGG
rnacentral:rRNA from 1 species